rnacentral:rRNA from 1 species
GUGAGGAAUUUUGCGCAAUGGGGGAAACCCUGACGCAGCAACGCCGCGUGAGUGAUGAAGGCCUUCGGGUCGUAAAGCUCUGUCAAGUGGGAAGAACCUGCUCUGUGAUAACACCACGGGGCACCGACGGUACCACUGAAGGAAGCACCGGCUAACUCCGUGCCAGCAGCCGCGGUAAUACGGGGGGUGCUAGCGUUAUUCGGAAUCAUUGGGCGUAAAGGGCGCGUAGGCGGUCUUUUAAGUCAGAUGUGAAAGCCCUCGGCUUAACCGAGGAAGUGCAUUUGAUACUAAGAGACUUGAGUAUGGGAGAGGGAAGCGGAAUUCCUGGUGUAGCGGUGAAAUGCGUAGAUAUCAGGAGGAACACCGGUGGCGAAGGCGGCUUCCUGGACCAAUACUGACGCUGAGGCGCGAAGGCGUGGGGAGCAAACAGGAUUAGAUACCCGAGUAGUCC